rnacentral:rRNA from 1 species
UGCCAGCCGCCGCGGUAAUACGGAGGGUGCAAGCGUUAAUCGGAAUUACUGGGCGUAAAGCGUGCGUAGGCGGCCCAUUAAGUCGGAUGUGAAAGCCCUGGGCUUAACCUGGGAAUGGCAUUCGAUACUGGUGCGCUAGAGUCUGAUAGAGGGUAGCGGAAUUCCGGGUGUAGCGGUGAAAUGCGUAGAGAUCCGGAGGAACACCUGUGGCGAAGGCGGCUUUCUGGACCGAUACUGACGCUGAGACGCGAAAGCGUGGGGAGCAAACAGGAUUAGAUA